rnacentral:lncRNA from 1 species
UGAAAGCUCGAAAAGAUGUAAAAUUUAGGAUUGGUGACUGUGAAGCUGAAGUUGUAUAUUAAUUGGGUUUUGGUUUGAGCAUUAAACACACAGAAACUGAGAUGGCUAGAACCACUCUUUCUUCCCUGUCUUUAUUUUUCUGUAUUCUCCUCAUAAUCACCUUCACUUUCUUCAUGCUACCUAUUCCAGUAAGAGCAGGUUUGUCUCUGUCAUUCAAUCAUCCAAUCCUUUACGAAUAAUAGAUUUUGUAAGAUUAGAUUAGUUUUUAAAUUUAUUUUUAAUCAUAUAAUCAUAAUGACUUUGUAUGUGUAAAAGUAAGAUUUCUGAAAACUGUUAUGAUAUGAAUUUGCAGAUCUGAAAAACAGGGGUCCCAAGCCAAGAUCACCUCCAUCACCCACUAGUAGCUGGCCCGGACAUCCUGGUCAUCCUCCAUCCAACCAUGGCUGAAAUAUUACCACAAAUAGUAAGGGCUUCAAGUUUUCUUGGAUUCUCAUUUUGGUUAUCAACUUUUACUGUAUUAGGUUUUAUGUUAUAAAUAACACUGUGUAAGACCACGAAAGGAUUUACCCGUCCAUGUUAUGGAAUAUUAUAGAUUAUAAGGAAAUUAAAACCUUUUUAUUAUUCAUCUUAAUUUUUACUGGGAUUUUAGCAAACAAUUACUAAAAGUAUGGUUAGGAAUUGUAUAAUUAUUCACAAUAGUUUUGUGCAUUCCUUCUUUCAAUAAUUGAAACAAUUACUAAAUAUGAGUAUGUAUUUACUAUUUACGUUAAUAAAAAAUUAAAAAUAUAUUAGAAGAUUUCAAAAUAAUUAGUUAUAUUAAAUUUUAUAAUAUUUUAAUUACAGAUAAAGGAUUAAUUUUAAAGCUAUUGUUUAGAGAUAUUGGAUUAUUUUGAUCCAAAACAAAUUUAGAAAAUGUUUUCAAUUUGAAAAUCAAGAAUCAAAUAAUAAAUUAUGAAAUCAAUUUAGCAUUACGAAGAAAAAUAUCAUUACAUUAAAAAACAUUACAGAUAUAUACAUAAGUAGGAUUGCAUAAGAAUUUAAUGAAUUACAUCAAUUCCAACAUUAAGGAGUGUGAGGAAUAAUGUAUGUGGAUUGUAAUCAGUGGUACAUAUGAACUCAUAGGAAUAAUAUAUUUUUUAGAAAAGAAAAGUUGGAUGCUGAAAAGAUAUUUACAUUAGAAACCCUUAAGACAUGGGAUUGAAUUACCAAUAAGAACUCAAAAGCUAAAUUCUCUUAUUCGGAUUAAUUUUUUGCACAUCGAUAUGAAUUUAAAGUAUAUAUCUAGCUAGCUAUCUAAAGGGGGAAAAUAGAGUGGUGUAACUUUGUUUGGAUUAUAUCAACAAUAAGAGAGCAAUGAGAUAAAUCUAAGUAAAAGUUUUAUAUGGGUGCUAUCUAGUUAGCUUUUUCAUAACAGCAUGUGACUCUUUUUGGUCAAAUAGAUGAAUCUAUGAUCCAAGACAAAAUCAUGGUUCAAAAGAUUUCUUUUUAACCUUUUUCAAACAUUUGAUUUAAACUAUCUUUUGUAGAUAUGAUUUGACGAAUAACAAUUAAGAUGCUCACACUCUUAUUUGGAUCAUACUAAAAUAUUCUUUUAAAUCAAAUUUGACAUUCCUAAAGAAGAUAUUAUUUCUCUAAUUUCAUAAAUUCCACGUGAAAGCAAUCCACGUCUCCUCCAUAGCAUAUUCCCUUUAUGUUAUUUACUCGGUCAUUCGUGUUGUUCUAUGAGGGUUUCCAAGACUACCAAUCAAUUUUUAGUAUGAAAUUUGGUCUUAGGUACAAAGUAUAAGGAUGGCUAGAAGUCCUUUUUUGUGCUAUUGCCUAAAUACCUUAUUGCUUUUUAUAGCUUUAGGGACAAGUGGUGGCAUGUCUUCCAUUAUUUAUAAUUAAUAUUAUGUUGCAUAAUAUAUAUAGUGAAGAAGACCUACCACUUCCUCAUUCAUAUCAUGUAUUGGAAGUUUCACAGAAAGCUCAACAUGUUAAAUAUGAUGAAAACUAUAUACAUAAUUAAUCCUUUGUUUUAAAUACACAUAUAGAAUUUUCUAUUUAUAAUAGAAAAAAUAUGAGUUAAAUUCAAAAUACAAAUAAAAAUUAAUAACAAAUAAUUAAACACAAAAGAUAAAGAUAAAAAAUAAAUAUAAAAUAAAUAUAAUAUAUCUAACACAACUUAUUAUAAAGUGGCUGAUUACGAACAAGCAUCACAGAAAUCUGGUUUCAGCCUUCAAAAUACUCUGGUAUGGCUUGGAUCAGAGUUUCUUCUAAGUUUGUAUCUUUCCUUGUUCUGUUAGCAAUGGCAUUUUCUUUCUUUGCACAGCUUACUUCAGUUAGUGCAGGUUUGUGUAGCUACUACCUCUUUAAAAUAUGCAAACACAUAUGAACAACAUGUGUUUAGAAUUGUAAGAUCAUUAUCACUGUCAUUAGUGUUUGGUAGAUGAUGAUGAUGAAUUAAUUAGUGCAUGAAAGUGUUUAGCACGUAAAGUAAAAGUACAUGUUGUUGCAGGUAGAAGCAUAUUAGGUAUCUUGAAAAGUUUAUAAUUAACGUGAUAGCUGUGAUCUUGAUUUGCAGAUCCGAAAGUGAGAAAAUUGGGUGUGAUGCCAAGUCCACCUCCUUCACCUGCGCGUAAUCCAUCAUGGCGUACUCUACCUCCUCGUCUUCCUCCUCCAUCCAUUUAAAUUUUCAUUUUCUGCUUAUAUCUUGUCAUUGUUAGUGAAACCAAACUGAGUAUUUGGUCAGUCUUCUUGUGUUUCGUCUGUGUUUUGUAAUAAGCCAGGUUUCAGGCACCUUUUGUUAGUUUUGUAUUGUUUUCUGCAUAAUGUACGUUGUUCAGCAUAGUAUUUUACUGUUUGGUCUGUGUGUUGCACCCCUUUAAUAUAUAAUUAUCUUCUUUGUUGGGAA